AGAAAUGAGAGAGAGGGAACGUGAAGAGGAGAGAGCGAGUGUGAAAGGGAAAGAGAGCGUGAGGGAGAGAGAAAAGAUCAUGCAAGCAGGAAGAACACGGAGCCAGCCGGUAUGAGCCAUUAGUCAAAGUUGCGGUCAUUAGGAAUGAUCUCCACGCCAACUCGCACCACGGCCACGGUCAGCCCUCUCACCCCGCUAGCCAAUGGCAGUGUGGCUGCUCAGUCUGCUCACUCUGGAUUCGCUGCCGCCCUCCGUCAAUUGGCCAAACAGGCUGAAGAUCCCAGAGGUUCUUCUCCCAGUAGUGAGUCUUCAGUCUCCUCUCCAGCCACCUGUCUCAGUAAUUCAGUCACCACUCCUAAGAGGGGGUUGUCAGGGCCACUCCAGACCUCAAGUGGGGUAGACAGCCUUCCCACCACCCCUCCUGUAGUCACCAUCGCCCCAAUUCACAGCAAGACCAGCAACAUUCUCUGGAUAGGAGAAGGGCACCAGGUAAGAAGAAACGGUCCCGC